UUAGAAAUCGUGCAGAAAUGUAAUUGAUUUUGUACACAGAACAAGUUUUAUGAUAAAGAGUUCAAAUGGAAAAGUCCAGUCAACAUUACAAUAGAGUAUUUUAAGUAUAGACGCGUUUCAACGAAACAUAUACAAGUACACUGUCUGUACAGGUAUCACAGAGUAAAUAUAGUUGCAUGUAUCCAGGGAUCUUCUGGCAACAAUUAUAAUGCACCUGUUCUGUUAUAGGAGCGUAACAUGAAUCAAUAAUUUGAUCUCUUUGCUUAUUUCUUUGUAACCUCAAAUUAAUGUUAGCAUAUUUCUUUACUUUAGGUUAACCUAAUUACACAAGUUAUUCCUACGGUGUCGCAGAAGAUAUUUUACAUGUUCUGGGGAAAUAAAUCUUGACAGAGAUGAAUUGUAUUUACAGGAAUACACAAAUUCCUUUUACAGAAAAGGAAAGAAGAUUUCACUGAUUACUCCUGUUUAAAAUAAGCAGUGGAAGGCAAAAAAUAAUGAAGAGUAAUCUUACAUAUUUUCACUAAAGUUACUCAUAACCCGUUAGAUUGUAAGUAUCUGUCUUAAAAAAUAAAGCAUCUGUGAAAUCUUAUCACACUCGUAGCAAGGAAAAUCUAUGUACACAUUUCAAGAAAUUUCCUAUGUCUAACGGGUUCGAUCACAAUCUUGAUUAUUGCACUAUUGUAUUUAUUUUAUAUAUCAAGGAAGAAAGAAUAUCUAUAUACAAGUUACGUAGUAUUUCACUUUUGUGCAUUGUUCAUACAAUUAAAAAAAUAUUAGAAAAAAUUUCUUUGUUACAAGAAAUAGUUCUAUAAAAGAAUGUGUGCAAAACUUAUUUAACGAUCAGUUCAAGAGUAAAAUUUUGAUUCGAAUUUAAUCGCUGUAGAAACAAGCGACGAUGGAAAGUAUAUGUGUACAAAAAUUUGCUGUUUAACGUGCGAUCAGAGCGAAGCAAUCAUAGAAAAAUAUGAUUACUAUUAACGAAAGACCUUUGAUUUAUUUCAGAGAAUUAGGAACCUGCUUCGUUUAUCUAUUCGUCUGUUCAUCGUAGGUUCAAAUUAUCGUCCUUUUGUUUUUUUCUUUCUCUUAGUUGGUCUGCGAUACACGAUUGUCAAUAUAAUGACUACGCUUCUUCUAGUUGCACAUAUUCUUUGAAUUAUUAAAAAAUAUACCGAAUGUCCGUAAAGUAAGUUUUAGCUUGUGCAUCAGAGUCACAUUUGAGUUCCCUAUCUAACUACAGAGUAUAUUUCCGAAAUGUUUGAAGUCUUCGUAAUUUAAAUUAAUUUAAAUGGACAAUAAAUGUAAUAAAAAAAUUACAUUAUUUUUUAAUCAAUUUAAAAAAUUUGGAUGUUUGAAAAUUUGGGAAUUUGAGAAGAUGUGCAUAAUUAUAUUAAGGUGAUCUAAUAGUAAUCGUGGCUCAAAUAAAGUCCUUUUUGAAAUAAAAAUUUUGUAAGAAAAAUUUCGAAAUUUUAUCACACUUCAUUACGGCACAUCACUUUAUGAGUUUUGGCAAAUUUAGUAACAGCUACGAAUUUUGGCAAGUUUUACAUAGUAAAAGAUCGUUCUAAAGUUUCGUAAGCUUUAAAGCUAUUCUAAGCGUUACGAACUUUUUCAAUGCUCGAAAAAUUCUAAGCUAACUUUAGUCUAUAUUCUCUAAACUUUUAUACACUCGCGCUUGUACACACGUAAUAUAUGUGAAGUGUUAAAAAUUGAGAUCUUAGUUUAAGAACAAUUCUAUCCAUCAGAAUAAUGUAAAAAGUUCGUGUAGAGUUAUAAUCGAAAAACUCGUCUUUGGUAUUAGCUAAUUUUCAAAAUAUGUGGUCUAGUAUAUCAGCGUGAACGAAAGUAUUACAUUUCUUUUUUUUAAAGUUCUUAAUGAAAAAAUGAUCAUUCAAGUCUUUUUUAUAAAAUGGA